rnacentral:rRNA from 1 species
GAUGAACGCUGGCGGCGUGCCUAAUACAUGCAAGUCGAGCGAACAGAUAAGGAGCUUGCUCCUUUGACGUUAGCGGCGGACGGGUGAGUAACACGUGGAUAACCUACCUAUAAGACUGGGAUAACUUCGGGAAACCGGAGCUAAUACCGGAUAACAUAUUGAACCGCAUGGUUCAAUAGUGAAAGGCGGCUUUGCUUUCACUUAUAGAUGGAUCCGCGCCGUAUUAGCUAGUUGGUAAGGUAACGGCUUACCAAGGCAACGAUACGUAGCCGACCUGAGAGGGUGAUCGGCCACACUGGAACUGAGACACGGUCCAGACUCCUACGGGAGGCAGCAGUAGGGAAUCUUCCGCAAUGGGCGAAAGCCUGACGGAGCAACGCCGCGUGAGUGAUGAAGGUCUUCGGAUCGUAAAACUCUGUUAUCAGGGAAGAACAAAUGUGUAAGUAACUGUGCACAUCUUGACGGUACCUGAUCAGAAAGCCACGGCUAACUACGUG